GACGAACGCUGGCGGCGUGCUUAACACAUGCAAGCCGAACGGAAAGGCCCUGCUUUUGUGGGGUGCUCGAGUGGCGAACGGGUGAGUAACACGUGAGUAACCUGCCCUUGACUUUGGGAUAACUUCAGGAAACUGGGGCUACUACCGGAUAGGAGCUCCUGCUGCAUGGUGGGUGUUGGAAAGUUUCGGCGGGUGGGGAUGGACUCGCGGCUUAUCAGCUUGUUGGUGGGGUAGUGGCUUACCAAGGCUUUGACGGGUAGCCGGCCUGAGAGGGUGACCGGCCACAUUGGGACUGAGAUACGGCCCAGACGGCUACGGGAGGCAGCAGGGGGGAAUAUUGCACAAUGGGAGGAAGCCUGAUGCAGCAACGCCGCGUGCGGGAUGACGGCCUUCGGGUUGUAAACCGCUUUCGCCUGUGACGAAGCGUGAGUGACGGUAAUGGGUAAAGAAGCACCGGCUAACUACGUG
rnacentral:rRNA from 1 species